AGUGAACGCUGGCGGUAGGCCUAACACAUGCAAGUCGAACGGCAGCACAGUAAGAGCUUGCUCUUACGGGUGGCGAGUGGCGGACGGGUGAGGAAUACAUCGGAAUCUACUUUUUCGUGGGGGAUAACGUAGGGAAACUUACGCUAAUACCGCAUACGACCUACGGGUGAAAGCAGGGGAUCUUCGGACCUUGCGCGAUUGAAUGAGCCGAUGUCGGAUUAGCUAGUUGGCGGGGUAAAGGCCCACCAGGGCGACGAUCCGUAGCUGGUCUGAGAGGAUGAUCAGCCACACUGGAACUGAGACACGGUCCAGACUCCUACGGGAGGCAGCAGUGGGGAAUAUUGGACAAUGGGCGCAAGCCUGAUCCAGCCAUACCGCGUGGGUGAAGAAGGCCUUCGGGUUGUAAAGCCCUUUUGUCGGGAAAGAAAAGCAGCAGGUUAAUACCCCGCUGUUCUGACGGUACCCAAAGAAUAAGCACCGGCUAACUUCGUG
rnacentral:rRNA from 1 species